rfam:Eubacterium brachy ATCC 33089 genomic scaffold Scaffold204, whole genome shotgun sequence.
GGGGAUGUAAAGGUUUCGACAGGGGUGUGGAAGCGUGAUAAGCGAGCCGUAGAUUGCAUUAGCUACGAAAAAAUAUGCACGUUAAAUAUAAACGCUAAAAAUAACAAUAAUUUCGCAUUUGCUGCCUAAUUAACGCAGCGGCGCAUCGGUCUCUCCUCACCUGUAGGGAGAGGUAAUCGGUGUCAUUUAUACAGGAAAACCUUGCUUGAGUUUCUGGUAGGGUAAGGGAAUUACAGAAUAGCUCUUGGAUAAGUUUGUCUUUGAACCUUCAAGUGUGAAAUAAAAAAACAGAGACUACGCUCGUAGAAGUUCUAGUGAAAAUGCCUUUGGACAGGAGUUCGAUUCUCCUCAUCUCCACCA